rnacentral:rRNA from 1 species
GACGAACGCUGGCGGCGUGCUUAACACAUGCAAGUCGAACGGAAAGGCCCUGCUUUUGUGGGGUGCUCGAGUGGCGAACGGGUGAGUAACACGUGAGUAACCUGCCCUUGACUUUGGGAUAACUUCAGGAAACUGGGGCUAAUACCGGAUAGGAGCUCCUGCUGCAUGGUGGGGGUUGGAAAGUUUCGGCGGUUGGGGAUGGACUCGGGGCUAAUCAGCUUGUUGGUGGGGUAGUGGCAUACGAAGGCUUUGACGGGUAGCCGGCAUGGGAGGGUGACCAGGGACAUGAGUACUGAGGUACGGAGCAGUGGGGAAUAGUGGACAGAAGGGGGGAGUAUGAUACAGUGAGGCGAAGCGUGAUAAAGAGACGUUGGGUGCGUGAAGACGGUCUUCUGGUUGUGAACCGCAGUAGGUUAAGACGAAGCGGGAGUGACGGUAAUGGGUGAAGAAGCACCGGCUAACUACGUG